rnacentral:pre_miRNA from 1 species
AAUAUUUAAGUCUGUUCUGCUUAGAUUUGUGAAUUUGACAAAAUCUGCACAGCCGGCUUAAUGUAUUUU